rnacentral:rRNA from 1 species
UGGGGAAUUUUGGACAAUGGGGGCAACCCUGAUCCAGCAAUGCCGCGUGUGUGAAGAAGGCCUUCGGGUUGUAAAGCACUUUUGUCCGGGAAGAAAUCGCACCUGAUAAUACCGGGUGUGGAUGACGGUACCGGAAGAAUAAGGACCGGCUAACUACGUGCCAGCAGCCGCGGUAAUACGUAGGGUCCAAGCGUUAAUCGGAAUUACUGGGCGUAAAGCGUGCGCAGGCGGUUGUGCAAGACCGAUGUGAAAUCCCCGGGCUUAACCUGGGAAUUGCAUUGGUGACUGCACGGCUAGAGUGUGUCAGAGGGGGGUAGAAUUCCACGUGUAGCAGUGAAAUGCGUAGAGAUGUGGAGGAAUACCGAUGGCGAAGGCAGCCCCCUGGGAUAACACUGACGCUCAUGCACGAAAGCGUGGGGAGUAAACAGG